UCAUCUCCUCUUGAAGACUGCCAAUGA
rnacentral:piRNA from 1 species